rnacentral:tRNA from 1 species
GUGGUGUAAGGCGAACAUCGCUGCCCGGAAAGCAGAAGGUGCGGGUUCAAGUCCCGCC